AGGUGUGACUCAGCUGCUUACUUUGCCUGCAUUCCCCACCUUUCUAACCCAAAGUUCCCGCUUGAAUUUGACAUUAACGGGCUACCAUGAUGGAAGAUUUGUCUUCUCCAACAUCACCAACCUCACUUUUGAUGUCAGGAACAUCUCAUGCUACGUUCAACUGACCAAUCGCAUUAUCGCCCGGGGGAUACUGUCAGAGUCCGAGCUGUUUGUGUUCAGUUGGAUAAUCUCCCGUACAAAGGGAGAGUGGAUCUCUCAGUUGAGGAUUCCAGUGAGGAUGUUGUGGAAAGGUGGGAGUCCACAGCGAAUCAGGGAUUGUGUUUCAACAAUUCACUUUAUCCCAGACCUCCUCCUUGGGAACAUGGACAGUCAUCAUCACAAUGCAUGGUGUGACUGAUAAGAAACAUUCGUUGUGGAGCAUGAGGAGCCUCCUAAAUUUGAUGUGCUGGUCAGGACGCCACCAAGAGUUCUUGUUGAAGAAGAUAUAUCUGGAUCGUGAGAGCCAUUUAUCCCAAUGGACAACCUGUGCAGGGAACCCUCAAUAUCUCACUCACUCAGCCGACUGCCGUGGAGGACUUAACACAAACCAAAGAGAUCUAUGGAUCAGCUCAAUUUUUUCUUCAGCAAUGCUCAGCUUCAGCGCCUCCAUAUAUCAUCAAAAAUGGAGGAUGCCGUACUUAUUAAAGUGUGCGUUACUGACAAGUCAACAGGAAUUAAAGUCAGCAAGACAGUUAAAGUCCACCUGAUGAGGAACACAUUCCAGCUUAAGUUCUGUGAUUUCCCCCAGUCUUUGAAGCCAUCGUUGACCUUCUUUACAAAACUUAGCAUCUCCCGGUACGACAAAAAGCCCCUGAACACCGAUAAUCGAAAGUACUCUGCUGUGGUUGACGUCACUCAGUGGUCAUCGAUGAUGAGAGGAAGUACCACGAUGACUCUUCCAGUGCCAAUAGAUGGGAAUGUCCACAUUAAGUUUAAAUUACAGUAUGAUGUGCAGAUGAUUUUAAUUCACGCCAGGUACCAAUCAACUGUCGACACUGACGCUCUACACAAACUACUCAUCUCCAAGUGACUCAUAUCUUCAGAUUACGCCCGGAGUGCCUGCAAUGAUCGGAUCGCCCUAUCAAAUAGAGACAGAAAGCACAAUUCCACUAUCCAAGAUUCAUUAUGUGGUGAGUUCAAGAGGUCCAAUUGGUAACACGCGGGGGUCAAACACUUCUUCCUCCUUUUCCCUGGUGCCAACAUUGUCCUGGUCCCCUGAGGCCUGUAUCACAGUCUAUUCCUAUCCUCCCUGAUGGAAGAUCAUUAGUGACACAGCACGGAUAACUGUUGCUCAGCAAGCAUAUGUUUCUCUACAUUGGAGCAAUGAAAGAGCCCGUCCAGGAGAACGAGUAACGCUCACCGUGGACGGCCCUUACUCCAAAUUCCCGUGUCGGAAUUUUGGUGAUGGGAAUGCAUGAUGAGGAUCCACAGGCUGACUCUGAUUUAGAAGCAGG